rnacentral:lncRNA from 1 species
GUCACACAAAAAUUAUACUGUGCUCUGACUGUAACUCAAAUAACCUGUCAAUAGAUAUGGAAUUAGCAUUACAGAUGAAUCAUAUAUAGGGAAAUCAUUUCUAAGGGCAGGGGCAGUUUACAAUAACCUGUUAUCCUUGGCAUUAAAAUAAAGCAAGAGCACUCAGAACCCUCAGGUCAGUGGUGGUAACUGUUGCAUAGGGGGUGAUGAUUGGUCAAGCCACCUGAAUAACAUCACCAUUUCUCAUUUGAGUAAACCCAGCAUGGGUCACAGACAGCAGAACAGUGGGUCUGACUACCUACCUAUAGCAACACAUUUGCAGAAUAAUAGUUUAAGAUUGUCGCUGACCAGAAUUUCAAUGCUCUCAUUACAGUUUUAUGAAGCUUCAUAAGCCAGCAUGGUACAAAUUCUCCAAGGAUUUUUCCUGCUAUCCCCAAGAAAGUAGUGAGAAGUAAUUCUGUUACCUGAGAGAAGAGAAAAAGAAGCUUUAGUACUAAUUCAAGCUGCUGCACUUACUUUAGUUGAGGCAAACUGCUCUACUGAAUUUCCUGGAAAGAGUUCGUUUUACUGUUUCCAAAGGAGACCUGAACCAUGCAGAAUCGUCUGUAGAACAGAAAAUGGUAAGCACUGUGCUUGUUUUGAUUCAAUCCAAAGUUAUGAAAUUAUGAACUCCAUUACAAAAAAAGAUAGAAAAAUCAUGUCAUAUGUACUAAAACAGAAAGACUCCUCUGAAACAGAAGGAAUACAGAAGAAACAAAAUAUGUGACAG